GUACGGGAGGCAGCAGUGGGGAAUAUUGGACAAUGGGCGCAAGCCUGAUCCAGCAAUGCCGCGUGAGUGAAGAAGGUCUUCGGAUUGUAAAGCUCUUUUGGCGGGGACGAUGAUGACGGUACCCGCAGAAUAAGCCCCGGCUAACUUCGUGCCAGCAGCCGCGGUAAUACGAAGGGGGCUAGCGUUGCUCGGAAUGACUGGGCGUAAAGGGCGCGUAGGCGGAUUGUACAGUCAGACGUGAAAUUCCUGGGCUCAACCUGGGGGCUGCGUUUGAUACGUAUAGUCUUGAGUGAGGAAGAGGGUUGUGGAAUUCCCAGUGUAGAGGUGAAAUUCGUAGAUAUUGGGAAGAACACCGGUGGCGAAGGCGGCAACCUGGUCCUUUACUGACGCUGAGGCGCGAAAGCGUGGGGAGCAAACAGGAUUAGAUACCCCCGUAGUCC
rnacentral:rRNA from 1 species